UCAGACGAUGGUCAUAGCAUAUCAAUAAGCGGAGGAAAAGGAAACUAACAAGGAUUCCCUUAGUAACGGCGAGUGAAGCGGGAAGAGCUCAAAUUUGAAAUCUUCAAGGUUUUACCUUGACGAAUUGUAGUUUAAAGAAGUGUUUUCUGUUGAAGUUUUGGUAAAAGUUCUUUGGAAUAGGACAUCAUAGAGGGUGAGAAUCCCGUAUUUGACCAUUAUUUUCAGCUGUGUGAUACACUUUCAAAGAGUCGGAUUGUUUGGGAAUGCAGUCCAAAAUGGGUGGUAAAUUUCAUCUAAAGCUAAAUAUUGGCGAGAGACCGAUAGCGAACAAGUACCGUGAGGGAAAGAUGAAAAGAACUUUGAAAAGAGAGUUAAACAGUACGUGAAAUUGUCAAAAGGGAAGCGUUUGACACCAGUGUUGUUUUCUCGAAAAUCAAUUAAAAAUGGCUCGAUUUUGUAUUGCUGAGACCUUAAAAGCUCACUGUACAUUUUUCGUGUCUUUUUUAAUGCACUUUUCGUUUAACAAGUCAACAUCAGUUUCUUUUGUUGUAAAAAGGUCAUUGGAAGGUGGCUUUCUUUUCGGAGAAAGUGUUUAUAGCCUUUGACUCCUGCAAUCGGAGAGACUGAGGUCUGCAGCGUAGAUCCUUCGGGGUUAGAUACAUUUGUGCUAAGUUAUAGCUUUUUAUAGACAACUUGUUGACUAUGAUUAGUCUUGUAGCUUAGCUCGCUUAUGCUAUUUUACCUACGCUUAGGAUGUUGAGUCGUAGAGCACGCAG
rnacentral:rRNA from 1 species